UACGAGAGGUGCAAACGUUAUUCGGAAUUAUUGGGCGUAAAGGGUGCGCAGGCGGUUUAUUAAGUCAACUGUUUAAUUCCUCGGCCUAACUGAGGUUCAGCGGUAGAAACUGAUAAGCUUGAGUAUGAGAGAGAGAAGUGGAAUUCUCGGAGUAGCGGUAAAAAUGCGUAGAUCUCGAGAGGAACACCGAUGGCGAAGGCAGCUUCUUGGCUCAUUACUGACGCUCAUGCACGAAAAGCGUGGGGAGCAAACAGG
rnacentral:rRNA from 1 species